GCUCCCGUAGUGUAGUCCGGUCAAUCAUUCGGGCCUUUCGAGCCCGACACUCGGGUUCAAAUCCCGGCGGGAGCACCA
rnacentral:tRNA from 1 species